rnacentral:rRNA from 1 species
GACGAACGCUGGCGGCGUGCUUAACACAUGUAAGUCGAACGGAAAGGCCCUGCUUUUGUGGGGUGCUCGAGUGGCGAACGGGUGAGUAACACGUGAGUAACCUGCCCUUGACUUUGGGAUAACUUCAGGAAACUGGGGCUAAUACCGGAUAGGAGCUCCUGCUGCAUGGUGGGGGUUGGAAAGUUUCGGCGGUUGGGGAUGGACUCGCGGCUUAUCAGCUUGUUGGUGGGGUAGUGGCUUACCAAGGCUUUGACGGGUAGCCGGCCUGAGAGGGUGACCGGCCACAUUGGGACUGAGAUACGGCCCAGACUCCUACGGGAGGCAGCAGUGGGGAAUAUUGCACAAUGGGCGGAAGCCUGAUGCAGCAACGCCGCGUGCGGGAUGACGGCCUUCGGGUCGUAAACCGCUUUCGCCUGUGACGAAGCGUGAGUGACGGUAAUGGGUAAAGAAGCACCGGCUAACUACGUG